GAUGAACGCUGGCGGCGUGCUUAACACAUGCAAGUCGAACGGAAAGGCCAGUGCUUGCACUGGUACUCGAGUGGCGAACGGGUGAGUAACACGUGGGUGAUCUGCCCUGCACUUCGGGAUAAGCCUGGGAAACUGGGUCUAAUACCGGAUAGGACAAUGGUUUGGAUGCCGUUGUGGAAAGUUUUUUCGGUGUGGGAUGAGCUCGCGGCCUAUCAGCUUGUUGGUGGGGUAAUGGCCUACCAAGGCGUCGACGGGUAGCCGGCCUGAGAGGGUGUACGGCCACAUUGGGACUGAGAUACGGCCCAGACUCCUACAGGAGGCAGCAGUGGGGAAUAUUGCACAAUGGGCGCAAGCCUGAUGCAGCGACGCCGCGUGGGGGAUGACGGCCUUCGGGUUGUAAACUCCUUUCGCUAGGGACGAAGCGUAUUUGUGACGGUACCUGGAGAAGAAGCACCGGCUAACUACGUG
rnacentral:rRNA from 1 species